rnacentral:rRNA from 1 species
CCUACGGGUGGCAGCAGUGAGGAAUAUUGGUCAAUGGACGAGAGUCUGAACCAGCCAAGUAGCGUGAAGGAUGACUGCCCUAUGGGUUGUAAACUUCUUUUAUAUGGGAAUAAAACGUUCCACGUGUGGGAUUUUGUAUGUACCAUAUGAAUAAGGAUCGGCUAACUCCGUGCCAGCAGCCGCGGUAAUACGGAGGAUCCGAGGGUUAUCCGGAUUUAUUGGGUUUAAAGGGAGCGUAGGUGGAUUGGUAAGUCAGUUGUUGAAGUUUGCGGCUCAACCGUAAAAUUGCAGUUGAAACUGGCAGUCUUGAGUACAGUAGAGGUGGGCGGAAGUCGUGGUGUAGCGGUGAAAUGCUUAGAUAUCACGAAGAACUCCGAUUGCGAAGGCAGUUCACUGGACUGCCACUGACAUUGAUGCUCGAAAGUGUGGGUAUCAAACAGGAUUAGAUACCCCAGUAGUC